UACGUAGGGUGCGAGCGUUAAUCGGAAUUACUGGGCGUAAAGCGUGCGCAGGCGGUUUGUUAAGCCAGAUGUGAAAUCCCCGGGCUCAACCUGGGAAUGGCAGUGGAUACUGGGAGGCUAGAGUGUGUCAGAGGAUGGUGGAAUUCCCGGUGUAGCGGUGAAAUGCGUAGAGAUCGGGAGGAACAUCAGUGGCGAAGGCGGCCAUCUGGGACAACACUGACGCUGAGGCACGAAAGCGUGGGGAGCAAACAGG
rnacentral:rRNA from 1 species